UACGUAGGGGGCUAGCGUUGUCCGGAAUCAUUGGGCGUAAAGCGCGUGUAGGCGGCCCGGUAAGUCCGCUGUGAAAGUCGGGGGCUCAACCCUCGAAAGCCGGUGGAUACUGUCGGGCUCGAGGGAGGUAGGGGUCGAGGGAACUUCUGGUGGAGCGGUGAAAUGCGUUGAUAUCAGAAGGAACGCCGGUGGCGAAAGCGCUCGACUGGACCUUUUCUGACGCUGAGGCGCGAAAGCUAGGGGAGCAAACGGG
rnacentral:rRNA from 1 species